rnacentral:rRNA from 1 species
UAGGGAAUCUUCCGCAAUGGGCGAAAGCCUGACGGAGCAACGCCGCGUGAGUGAUGAAGGCCUUCGGAUCGUAAAACUCUGUUAUUAGGGAAGAACAAAUGUGUAAGUAACUAUGCACGUCUUGACGGUACCUAAUCAGAAAGCCACGGCUAACUACGUGCCAGCAGCCGCGGUAAUACGCAGGUGGCAAGCGUUAUCCGGAAUUAUUGGGCGUAAAGCGCGCGUAGGCGGUUUUUUAAGUCUGAUGUGAAAGCCCACGGCUCAACCGUGGAGGGUCAUUGGAAACUGGGAAGCUUGAGUGCAGAAGAUGAAAGUGGAAUUCCAUGUGUAGCGGUGAAAUGCGCAGAGAUAUGAAUGCAUACCAGUGGCGAAGGCGACUUUCUGGUCUGUAACUGACGCUGAUGUGCGAAAGCGUGGGGAUCAAACAGG